UCCUACGGGAGGCAGCAGUGGGGAAUUUUCCGCAAUGGGCGAAAGCCUGACGGAGCAAUCUCGCGUGAGGGAUGACGGCCUAUGGGUUGUAAACCUCUUUUUUCAGGGAGGAAUCAAAUGACGUGUACCUGAAGAAUAAGCAUCGGCUAACUCCGUGCCAGCAGCCGCGGUAAGACGGAGGAUGCAAGUGUUAUCCGGAAUCACUGGGCGUAAAGCGUCUGUAGGUGGUUGAACAAGUCAACUGUUAAAUCUUGAGGCUCAACUUCAAAAUCGCAGUCGAAACUGUUUGACUAGAGUAUAGUAGGGGUAAAGGGAAUUUCCAGUGGAGCGGUGAAAUGCGUAGAUAUUGGAAAGAACAUCGAUGGCGAAGGCACUUUACUGGGCUAUUACUGACACUCAGAGACGAAAGCUAGGGUAGCAAAUGGGAUUAGAUACCCCAGUAGUCCUAGCCGUAAACAAUGGAUACUAGAUGUUGAACAGAUCGACCUGUGCAGUAUCAAAGCUAACGCGUUAAGUAUCCCGCCUGGGAAGUAUGCUCGCAAGGGUGAAACUCA
rnacentral:rRNA from 1 species